UACGUAGGGUGCAAGCGUUUGUCCGGAAUUAUUGGGCGUAAAGAGCUUGUAGGCGGUUUGUCGCGUCUGCUGUGAAAUUUCGGGGCUCAACCCCGAACUUGCAGUGGGUACGGGCAGACUAGAGUGUGGUAGGGGAGACUGGAAUUCCGGGUGUAGUGGUGGAAUGCGUAGAGAUCCGGAGGAACACCAGCGGCGAAGGCGGCAUCCUGGACUGGUCCUGACACUCAGGAGCGAAAGCGUGGGAGCGAGUCCGG
rnacentral:rRNA from 1 species